rnacentral:rRNA from 1 species
AUUGAACGCUGGCGGCAUGCUUUACACAUGCAAGUCGAACGGUAACAGGCCGCAAGGUGCUGACGAGUGGCGAACGGGUGAGUAAUGCAUCGGAACGUGCCCAGUCGUGGGGGAUAACGCAGCGAAAGCUGUGCUAAUACCGCAUACGAUCUAUGGAUGAAAGCGGGGGACCGUAAGGCCCCGCGCGAUUGGAGCGGCCGAUGUCAGAUUAGGUAGUUGGUGGGGUAAAGGCUCACCAAGCCAACGAUCUGUAGCUGGUCUGAGAGGACGACCAGCCACACUGGGACUGAGACACGGCCCAGACUCCUACGGGAGGCAGCAGUGGGGAAUUUUGGACAAUGGGCGCAAGCCUGAUCCAGCAAUGCCGCGUGCAGGAAGAAGGCCUUCGGGUUGUAAACUGCUUUUGUACGGAACGAAACGGUCUGGGUUAAUACCCUGGGCUAAUGACGGUACCGUAAGAAUAAGCACCGGCUAACUACGUGCCAGCAGCCGCGGUAAUAC